rnacentral:lncRNA from 1 species
AUAGCUUCAGUGAAUGGAAUCUCAACGUGGACUUUCUCAAUCACUUUUACGAACUUUUUGUAUUGGUUAUCUAAUUUGGUUUGUUUUAGUCUUUGUGGAUAUGGAAUUGGUGGUUUAUAAGGAGGGGUUGGUACAUAUACUUUUUUAUCCUUCACUCCUUCCUUAUCUUUAGCUUCUUCAUCUCUUUGUUUCUCAGGCUCUAUUAGUUCCUCUACUUGUUUCUCAGGUGUAGUCACAA